CUCGGCGCCUCCCUCACUUUCCGUUCCUUACAAGGCCAGCCUCGUUCGACCCGGCGCGCGCGUGCGCUCAGGUCCCGCCCUGCGGGCGGCGCCGCUUGAUGACGUCACGGAUCGGAACUCCGCCCCCUCCGAGUUCUAGAGAUUCUGAACAGGCAGAUCUAUCUGCUAUGACUAUUUUGGAACUUCAACAUCCAGGGGAAGACUCAGAUGGUAAACUGCUUUAUUUUGGUCAAUUUCAGCUCAGCACCGACGCGACUGCCCAUCCCCAAAGCUCAGCCGCAUGGCAGCCAGCCAGGUGGCAGGCAGCCGUGGUGCUCACGUUCCUGAGCAGCUCACAAGCCCACCUGCAGGAGCCAGGGUAAGCAAGGAGGACGGUAUCCUCCGUAUAUGUGGCAUCUGCGCUCUGAUCAGCUAUGUUGAAGAGGUAAACAAGAGGAGGGGAGCCACUAUCAUCUGUUCUAAGCAUCUGCUACUCUGGCUAAACUGAUUUCCAGGACAUUUAAAGAGACGGUGUCUUUCUUUUUUCUUUUUAAAUCUCCCCCUCUUCAUUUUUCACCUUUUCUGGUUAUUGAAACCAGAUAUUGGAGAAAAGGAAAUUCAAAAACAACUGCUCUGGCUGGAGAGAUGGCUCAGCAGUUAAAGAGCAGGGAGUGCUCUUCCAGAGGAUCGGAGUUCAAUUCCUAGCCAGCACAUCCGGCAGUUUAUACUUGCCUGUAACACCAGCUCUUGGAGGAUUGGAUGCCUCUGGCUUCCGUGGGGACCUGAACUCACAUAAACACAUAAUUGAAAAUAAAAAUAAAAGUCUUUUAAAAGU